AUUGAACGCUGGCGGCAGGCUUAACACAUGCAAGUCGAACGAGUGGCGGACGGGUGAGUAAUGCUUGGGAAUCUAGCUUAUGGAGGGGGAUAACUACGGGAAACUGUAGCUAAUACCGCGUACCAUAGGCUGAGCCCAAGUGGGAUUAGCUAGUUGGUGAGGUAAAGGCGCACCAAGCCGACGAUCCCUAGCUGGUCUGAGAGGAUGACCAGCCAAACGGGGACUGAGACACGGUCCAGAAACCUACGUGAGGCAGCAGUGGAGAAUAUUGCACAAUGGGCGCAAGCAUGAUGCAGCCAUGCCGCGUGUAUGAAGAAGGACUUAGGGUUGUAAAGUACAUUCAGCGGGGAUGAGUUACCGGCAGAAGAAGCACCGGCUAACUCCGUGCCAGCAGCCGCGGUAAUUC
rnacentral:rRNA from 1 species